rnacentral:lncRNA from 1 species
GGUCUUUGCCUUGCAUGGGUGCUUACUAUAUCAUGUGCACUUGACGCGUUACACUUUCAGUUCACAUGAUAAUGGGCCAACUGUUACGGUGCCGUGGAGUAACUGCGAAAGGAAAUCAGAAAGGAGACAGUAAAUCAAGUUAAAGACUGACAGUCACGAAAUCCUUUACAGCACAACUCGAAAAGGUGAAAGGAAAGAACAAGAGCCUUUGCCUUACCAGCAGAGUCGAGAACACGGUGAAGCACAAAGUACUAGCAAAAAGAACAAGCCACAGUCUCUUAAGCUAUUAUUAGUUAUUACAAAACCAUGAAAAAGAAACUUAUCGAAGCUUAUCAUCACUCGUGGGAUUACGGAUGCAUAUCCAGAUUAGAUAAAGCAAAGCAAG